GAGGGCGACAAAAAAUAAAACAGAAAAUAUUUUUAGAUAAAGAAUCCCUUUAUUCUGCAAAUACAAGAGUCAUCGACUCUACAAAGGACUGCAAUAUUAGAAGAGCUAUUGCCAUUUAUAAUGUGAUAUACAUAUCAAAUACUUCUAUACGUUACUUAUCUAUUUAAUAAAUAAUUUACUUUUAGCUAUCAUUUACACAGCUUAUUUAACAGCAUCAAAACGUUGAUUCGUUCAAGGCUCGGACAUACAAAGCGCGAAAUGUGACACUACGCUUAUUUACACCUAUUUAGCCAAGUGUACACUAGCAAUUAAACUUGCAGAUGUCAGAUCUGGCAAACCACUUGCACCGUAGAACACUCGCAAGUCAAUUUCUGCAAAAAAAUUGUGUAACCGUGUAGAUAAUCGCAGGAAGUCAAUUACCAGCAAAAAAAAACACGCAAACUGGGAACCCACUUGCACCAUACUUGCUCUGUGUAAACACUUGCAGUAACCAAUUUCCGCAAGAAAACUAGUAGAAACUGAUAUUCAGCAAGUGUUUACGCAAUACAAACUUGUCAAAAAAAAAUUGUAGAAGUUACGUUCUGUAGAAUUUUACUUUCAAAAAUUAACUGUCAUGUCAACAUCAGCUUCUGCAAGUUUUUCCAUUGCAUUGCAACUCUCGCAAUUUUUUGCGCGUGUUUACACAGUGCAAGUGACUUACCAAAGCUAACUUAUGCAAGUCUUAUAGCUAGUGGACUAUAUGAGCUCCGCAGUUCCUAGGAGCAAAGUACGAUUUAAAUUCUAUAUCGCGUUCUGCAUGACCGAGCCUUCAUUCAUAACAAGCACGUUUACUUUGAGUCUAACGCUAACUUACACCAAAAUAAAUAAUGAAUCGUGAAGAUAGCAAACCUAUUUCAGACAUAGUCUGAAUAUAUCGGCUAGUCGAGACUCCAAUAUGGAUUAUUUACUGCAUGUAUAAUCAGUAUUUCUGCAUGCAUAAUCAGUAUUUACUGCAUGUAUAAUCAGUAUUUACUGCAUGAAUAAUCGUAUUUACUGCAUGUAUAAUCAGUAUUUACUGCAUGUAUUACCAUAAUUUUUUAAGUAUUGAACUAACUUCAAUUAAUUUCAUUUCAUAUCGCACACUGCCAUAACAACCACAACAUUUUUUACACAGAAUUCUGUAUGAGGUAAUAGAAACGGUAUGUGCUGUUCUUUAAUACCAGACGUUUUGUGGAUUUUUAGCGGUGGUACUUAUUAUAACAGUGAGAACUUUUCCACCUAGCCAUGGAGAAGAAUGUAAACUCAAACGCUAUGCAAAUAAGUUUGCUUUUACAAAAAUGCGCAUUGGUAAUUUGCGUGGCGAAAAGCUCUGAUUAUGGCACUUCUAUUCCUUUUCUGAAUUCUGUGUAAAAAAAAUGCGGUGGCUAUUUAAAACUGGUUAGUUAUCAAAAUAUGAAAAACAAUGAAAAUUAAAGCAUACAUUUUUUUUAUUAUUUUGAAAAUAAAUUGUUCAUCAAUUUACUAUCAAAAUUCAAAGUCCUUAAAUUGAAAAUGAAUUACCUAAACUUUCAACACUGUUUUGGUUAAUUAAUUCCUAAUACUGUUUAUUACAUGGUGUACAUACACAUCAUACAUUUGACAUGUAUAGGGCCCGGUUUCCACGUAAGCGGAGCGGAGCAGAGAGAUGUAUUUAGUCGAUCAAUCAGAUUUUAAAACAUGCCCUAAUUUUUUCACGACAUUAAGAAUCUGGUUGGUUGACUGAAACGGAGCCUAAGCCGUGUAUAAAAGCCUUGUAUUAAAAUAUUAGUAGCAAAUUAUACAAUACAAUCAGUACUGUUACAUUCAUAGCGAAGUCUCGAUUUCGCCCCACUAGCUACCUAUAGGAACCAGAGCUUCUAAUAAUAUUCUCCUAAAAUUCGCGAGCUUACAAGUAAACUUAUACAUCUAGCCAAUACUAUGUCACUGGAAAGAUCAGGUAAUUUUCAAUAUAGUGAAAAAUCACACUAAAGGCAGAUUUACAUCAAAACAGUCACUGGCGACAGCGCCUCUGUUAAAUUUA